UUUGGUUAAGUUAGAAAGGGCGCACGGUGGAUGCCUUGACACUAGGAGUCGAUGAAGGACGGGACUAACGCCGAUAUGCUUCGGGGAGCUGUAAGUAAGCUUUGAUCCGAAGAUUUCCGAAUGGGGAAACCCACCAUACGUAAUGGUAUGGUAUCCUUAUCUGAAUACAUAGGGUAAGGAAGACAGACCCAGGGAACUGAAACAUCUAAGUACCUGGAGGAAGAGAAAGCAAAUGCGAUUUCCUGAGUAGCGGCGAGCGAAACGGAACAUAGCCCAAACCAAGAGGCUUGCCUCUUGGGGUUGUAGGACAUUCUAUACGGAGUUACAAAGGAACGAGGUAGACGAAGCGACCUGGAAAGGUCCGUCGUAGAGGGUAACAACCCCGUAGUCGAAACUUCGUUCUCUCUUGAAUGUAUCCUGAGUACGGCGGAACACGUGAAAUUCCGUCGGAAUCUGGGAGGACCAUCUCCCAAGGCUAAAUACUCCCUAGUGAUCGAUAGUGAACCAGUACCGUGAGGGAAAGGUGAAAAGCACCCCGGAAGGGGAGUGAAAGAGAUCCUGAAACCGUGUGCCUACAAAUAGUCAGAGCCCGUUAACGGGUGAUGGCGUGCCUUUUGUAGAAUGAACCGGCGAGUUACGAUCCCGUGCGAGGUUAAGCUGAAGAGGCGGAGCCGCAGCGAAAGCGAGUCUGAAUAGGGCGUUUAGUACGUGGUCGUAGACCCGAAACCAGGUGAUCUACCCAUGUCCAGGGUGAAGUUCAGGUAACACUGAAUGGAGGCCCGAACCCACGCACGUUGAAAAGUGCGGGGAUGAGGUGUGGGUAGCGGAGAAAUUCCAAUCGAACCUGGAGAUAGCUGGUUCUCCCCGAAAUAGCUUUAGGGCUAGCCUUAAGUGUAAGAGUCUUGGAGGUAGAGCACUGAUUGGACUAGGGGUCCUCAUCGGAUUACCGAAUUCAGUCAAACUCCGAAUGCCAAUGACUUAUCCUUAGGAGUCAGACUGCGAGUGAUAAGAUCCGUAGUCAAAAGGGAAACAGCCCAGACCGCCAGCUAAGGUCCCAAAGUGUGUAUUAAGUGGAAAAGGAUGUGGAGUUGCUUAGACAACUAGGAUGUUGGCUUAGAAGCAGCCACCAUUUAAAGAGUGCGUAAUAGCUCACUAGUCGAGUGACUCUGCGCCGAAAAUGUACCGGGGCUAAAUACACCACCGAAGCUGCGGAUUGAUACCAAUGGUAUCAGUGGUAGGGGAGCGUUCUAAGGACAGUGAAGUCAGACCGUAAGGACUGGUGGAGUGCUUAGAAGUGAGAAUGCCGGUAUGAGUAGCGAAAGACGGGUGAGAAUCCCGUCCACCGAAUGCCUAAGGUUUCCUGAGGAAGGCUCGUCCGCUCAGGGUUAGUCAGGACCUAAGCCGAGGCCGACAGGCGUAGGCGAUGGACAACAGGUUGAUAUUCCUGUACCACCUCUUUAUCGUUUGAGCAAUGGAGGGACGCAGAAGGAUAGAAGAAGCGUGCGAUUGGUUGUGCACGUCCAAGCAGUUAGGCUGAUAAGUAGGCAAAUCCGCUUAUCGUGAAGGCUGAGCUGUGAUGGGGAAGCUCCUUAUGGAGCGAAGUCUUUGAUUCCCCGCUGCCAAGAAAAGCUUCUAGCGAGAUAAAAGGUGCCUGUACCGCAAACCGACACAGGUAGGCGAGGAGAGAAUCCUAAGGUGUGCGAGAGAACUCUGGUUAAGGAACUCGGCAAAAUGACCCCGUAACUUCGGGAGAAGGGGUGCUUUCUUAACGGAAAGCCGCAGUGAAUAGGCCCAAGCGACUGUUUAGCAAAAACACAGCUCUCUGCGAAGCCGUAAGGCGAAGUAUAGGGGGUGACACCUGCCCGGUGCUGGAAGGUUAAGGAGAGGGGUUAGCGUAAGCGAAGCUCUGAACUGAAGCCCCAGUAAACGGCGGCCGUAACUAUAACGGUCCUAAGGUAGCGAAAUUCCUUGUCGGGUAAGUUCCGACCCGCACGAAAGGUGUAACGAUUUGGGCACUGUCUCAACCAGAGACUCGGUGAAAUUAUAGUACCUGUGAAGAUGCAGGUUACCCGCGACAGGACGGAAAGACCCCGUGGAGCUUUACUGUAGCCUGAUAUUGAAUUUUGGUACAGUUUGUACAGGAUAGGCGGGAGCCAUUGAAACCGGAGCGCUAGCUUCGGUGGAGGCGCUGGUGGGAUACCGCCCUGACUGUAUUGAAAUUCUAACCUACGGGUCUUAUCGACCCGGGAGACAGUGUCAGGUGGGCAGUUUGACUGGGGCGGUCGCCUCCUAAAGUGUAACGGAGGCGCCCAAAGGUUCCCUCAGAAUGGUUGGAAAUCAUUCGUAGAGUGCAAAGGCAUAAGGGAGCUUGACUGCGAGACCUACAAGUCGAGCAGGGACGAAAGUCGGGCUUAGUGAUCCGGUGGUUC
rnacentral:rRNA from 1 species